GUAUCACAAGAUAACCAAGGAAAUAAAUCAGUGGAUCAAGACGGCAGAAAGUUAUUCACAGCCAGAUAGCAAAGCAGACGGAUGUAAUCAGUGCCUCAAUUAACAUCUAAAGGACUAGAGGAUGCAAAAUGACUGCCCAUGUCGCAAAAUGACCACAAAAUGUAAACAGUGCCUCAUGACACAAAAGGAUCACAGGAUGUAAACAGGUGCCUCAUUCACAAAAGGACUACGAGAUGGGCUUAACAGAAGCAACUCCAAGUCAUGACUUGCGGCAAAAGUGACAUGGGACUAUUGUGCCAGCGACAGAACCUAAUAGAAAACUAGUGACCCGCCCUCCCCAUAGGUGCCGUGCACCAGCACAGCUGGAGCACCAUCCUUCAGCGAGUAGGUUCCAACCUUGCUCAUCAUAGACGCCCUCCUUGCGUCCCGGACAGAGC
rnacentral:lncRNA from 1 species